rnacentral:rRNA from 1 species
GCCCUUAGAGUUUGAUCCUGGCUCAAGAUGACCUCUGGCGGCGUGCCUAACACAUGCAAGUCGAGCGAAGCGCUUUACUUGAAUUCUUCGGAAGGAAAGUAUUGUGACUGAGCGGCGGACGGGUGAGUAACGCGUGGGCAACCUGCCUCAUACAGGGGGAUAACAGUUAGAAAUGACUGCUAAUACCGCAUAAGACCACAGCACCGCAUGGUGCGGGGGUAAAAACUCCGGUGGUAUGAGAUGGACCCGCGUCUGAUUAGCUAGUUGGUAAGGUAAGGGCUUACCAAGGCGACGAUCAGUAGCCGACCUGAGAGGGUGACCGGCCACAUUGGGACUGAGACACGGCCCAAACUCCUACGGGAGGCAGCAGUGGGGAAUAUUGCACAAUGGGGGAAACCCUGAUGCAGCGACGCCGCGUGAGUGAUGAAGUAUUUCGGUAUGUAAGGCUCUAUCAGCAGGGAAGAAAAUGACGGUACCUGACUAAGAAGCACCGGCUAAAUACGUGCCAGCAGCCGCGGUAAUACGUAUGGUGCAAGCGUUAUCCGGAUUUACUGGGUGUAAAGGGAGCGUAGACGGAGAGGCAAGUCUGAUGUGAAAACCCGGGGCUCAACCCCGGGACUGCAUUGGAAACUGUUUUUCUAGAGUGUCGGAGAGGCAAGUGGAAUUCCUAGUGUAGCGGUGAAAUGCGUAGAUAUUAGGAGGAACACCAGUGGCGAAGGCGGCUUGCUGGACGAUGACUGACGUUGAGGCUCGAAAGCGUGGGGAGCAAACAGGAUUAGAUACCCUGGUAGUCCACGCCGUAA